rnacentral:rRNA from 1 species
AAUAGAUACCCCGGUAGUCCACGCCGUAAACGUUGGGCGCUAGGUGUGGGGUUCUUCCACGGAUUCCGCGCCGUAGCUAACGCAUUAAGCGCCCCGCCUGGGGAGUACGGCCGCAAGGCUAAAACUCAAAGGAAUUGACGGGGGGCCCGCACAAGCGGCGGAGCAUGUUGCUUAAUUCGACGCAACGCGAAGAACCUUACCAAGGCUUGACAUACACCGGAAACGUCCAGAGAUGGGCGCCCCCUUGUGGUCGGUGUACAGGUGGUGCAUGGCUGUCGUCAGCUCGUGUCGUGAGAUGUUGGGUUAAGUCCCGCAACGAGCGCAACCCUUGUCCCGUGUUGCCAGCAGGCCCUUGUGGUGCUGGGGACUCACGGGAGACCGCCGGGGUCAACUCGGAGGAAGGUGGGGACGACGUCAAGUCAUCAUGCCCCUUAUGUCUUGGGCUGCACACGUGCUACAAUGGCCGGUACAAUGAGCUGCGAUACCGCGAGGUGGAGCGAAUCUCAAAAAGCCGGUCUCAGUUCGGAUUGGGGUCUGCAACUCGACCCC